AUUGAACGCUGGCGGCAGGCCUAACACAUGCAAGUCGAACGAGUGGCGGACGGGUGAGUAAUGUCUGGGAAACUGCCCGAUGGAGGGGGAUAACUACUGGAAACGGUAGCUAAUACCGCAUACCAUCGGAUGUGCCCCGUUGGGAUUGGCUAGGAGGUGGGGGAAUGGCUCACCUGGGCGACGAUCCCUAGCUGGUCUGAGAGGAUGACCAGCCACCCUGGAACGGAGACACGGUCCAGACGCCUACGGGAGGCAGAAGUGGGGAAGAUUGCACAAUGGGCGCAAGCCUGAUGCAGCCAUGCCGCGUGUAUGAAGAAGGCCUUCGGGUUGUAAAGUACUUUCAGCGGGGAGGCGGUACUCGCAGAAGAAGCACCGGCUAACUCCGUGCCAGCAGCCGCGGUAAUAC
rnacentral:rRNA from 1 species